UACGUAGGGGGCAAGCGUUAUCCGGAUUUACUGGGUGUAAAGGGGGCGCAGACGGCAAUGCAAGCCAGGAGUGAAAGCCCGGGGCCCAACCCCGGGACUGCUCUUGGAACUGCAUAGCUGGAGUACAGGAGGGGCAGGCGGAAUUCCUAGUGUAGCGGUGAAAUGCGUAGAUAUUAGGAGGAACACCGGUGGCGAAGGCGGCCUGCUGGACUGUGACUGACGUUGAGGCCCGAAGGCGUGGGGAGCAAACAGG
rnacentral:rRNA from 1 species